GACGAACGCUGGCGGCGUGCUUAACACAUGCAAGUCGAACGGAAAGGCCCUGCUUUUGUGGGGUGCUCGAGUGGCGAAAGGGUGAGUAACACGUGAGUAACCUGCCCUUGCCUUUGGGAUAACUUCAGGAAACUGGGGCUAAUACGGGAUAGGAGUUCCUGCUGCAGGGUGGGGGUUGGAAAGUUUCGGCGGUUGGGGAUGGACUCGCGGCUUAUCAGCUUGUUGGUGGGGUAGUGGCUUACCAUGGCUUGGACGGGUAGCCGGCCUGAGAGGAUGACCGGCCACAUUGGGACUGAGAUACGGCCCAGACUCCUACGGGAGGCAGCAGUGGGGAAUAUUGCACAAUAGGCGGAAGCCUAAUGCAGCAACGCCGCGUGCGGGAUGACAGCCUUCGGGUUGUAUACCGCUUUCGCCUGUGACGAAGCGUUAGUGACGGUAAUGGGUAAAGAAGCACCGGCUAACUACGUG
rnacentral:rRNA from 1 species